ACCACCAUCCUCAUCCUUUUUUUUCUUCAAUCUUUAGCCUAAAACCAGCUCUAGCAGCAGCUGUGAGCAUAGGUAAGUUCAAGGAAAAAGAAACUUGAGGUAAGGUUUUACUUUUCCUUAAGUUUCAAGCUUGAGUUAUAGGUUUAAAGGGUUGAAAUUUUAUUCUGUGAUUGAUGGGAUUUAAUUGGGCCUUGGGUUUUAUUUUUAUGAUGUUUUAGGAUUGUUUGUAAUGCUUAUUUGGUAGGUUUGAUAGUUGUGGGGUGGAAAAGCUCCAAGCUUGAGUUUUAAGCUCAAAGCUUGAGCUUUAAUGGCACUUUUGAUUUAAGGGCAUGGUUUUGAUUUCUGUUACGUUGGAACUGUUAUAUGGAUGAUACAUAUGUCUCAUAUGAAGUUUGGAAUGAAUUGGUUAGGUUUUGAGUUAGUUUGGAGAGUUUAAAGUUGAAGAAAAUCGUGUUCCUGGCAGUUCAGAACCGGAAUUCCGGAUGUACCAACCGGAAUUCCGUUUGGUUAGUUUUCGGAAAAGUCGAAUUUCGUAUUUUGGCCAUAACUUUUCACUCGGGUGUCUGUUUUGUACGUUCUGUAUACCAUUUCGAAGCUUGCGACGAGAUCUAUGAUAUGGUGUAUAUUUUAGAGCCAAAAUAUAAUUUUCAUUUUAGUGAAUUUUUCCCUCAAGGUUUGGGCCCGGGAUGAUCGAUCGUUCUCCAAGCAGGUCGGCCAACAUACCUAAACCAGAAUUUGAGGUAAGGAAGUUAGAAGCUGUGUUCGGCCAUGAGUCAGAAGUCUCCCAGCAAUGUACAUAUCAGCCGUGGGGUCUUGGCUUCUGGGAAGCAGGAUCAAAUUCCUUUCUAUGUUUGGAAAUGUAAUCUAUUGUAAAAGAAUAUUUUUAUUUUAUAAA